ensembl:snRNA U6 U6 spliceosomal RNA
AUGCUUUGACAACAGAUAUCCUAAAAAUGAAAUGUUAUAGGGAGAAUUAGCAUGGUCUCUGCACAAAAAUGACAUACAAGACCAUGAAAUGUUCCAUAUAAAA